rnacentral:rRNA from 1 species
UUAUAAGAGACAGCAGCCGCCGCGGGAAAACGGAGGGUGCAAGCGUUAAUCGGAAUUACUGGGCGUAAGGCGUGCGUAGGCGGUUCGUUAAGUCUGUUGUGAAAGCCCCGGGCUCAACCUGGGAAUGGCAAUGGAUACUGGCGAGCUAGAGUGUGUCAGAGGAUGGUGGAAUUCCCGGUGUAGCGGUGAAAUGCGUAGAGAUCGGGAGGAACAUCAGUGGCGAAGGCGGCCAUCUGGGACAACACUGACGCUGAGGCACGAAAGCGUGGGGAGCAAACAGGAUUAGAGACCCCCGUAGUCCCUGUCUCUUAUAA